rnacentral:rRNA from 1 species
UACGUAGGGCGCAAGCGUUGUCCGGAAUUAUUGGGCGUAAAGAGCUCGUAGGCGGCUUGUCACGUCGGGUGUGAAAGCCCGGGGCUUAACCCCGGGUCUGCAUUCGAUACGGGCAGGCUAGAGUGUGGUAGGGGAGAUCGGAAUUCCUGGUGUAGCGGUGAAAUGUGCAGAUAUCAGGAGGAACACCGGUGGCGAAGGCGGAUCUCUGGGCCAUUACUGACGCUGAGGAGCGAAAGCGUGGGGAGCGAACAGG